UGGGGAAUAUUGGACAAUGGGGGCAACCCUGAUCCAGCAACGCCGCGUGAAUGAAGAAGGCCUUAGGGUUGUAAAGUUCUUUAGUCUUAGAGCAAGUUAUAUGUAUAAAUAGUAUAUAUAAUUGAGAGUAUAGGAAGAAUAAGCACCGGCUAACUACGUGCCAGCAGCCGCGGUAAUACGUAGGGUGCGAGCGUUAAUCGGAAUUACUGGGCGUAAAGGGUGAGUAGGCGGAUAUAUAAGUUAGAUGUGAAAGCCCUGGGCUUAACCUGGGAGUUGCAUAUAAUACUGUAUAUCUAGAGUUUGUAAGAGGGGCGUAGAAUUCCAAGUGUAGCAGUGAAAUGCGUAGAGAUUUGGAGGAAUACCGAUGGCGAAGGCAGCGCCCUGGGAUAGAACUGACGCUGAGGCACGAAAGCGUGGGUAGCAAACAGGAUUAGAUACCCGCGUAGUCC
rnacentral:rRNA from 1 species